UGAUAACACCAACAAUAAGGCUGAAACAGGAACGUGGUGGAGUGACCAUUAACCGAGGACCCGGUGUGAGUGGCGCCGGCCGGGAAAUGGAUGAGGCUCCUUCGGCACGGGAGAGAAACAGGCUUGGGAUAAACACGAUCUGGCUUUUUCAUCUUGCACCACUAUAAACCCCACUUGGACCAGGAGCAGGACUGGAUGCCUGAGGCAGACCCAGGAGAGGAAACAGUAUCCUAUUGUGCAUUACAAAGAAGUCUACAGGGAGCUCCGGAGAUCUAUUUUUCCCCAGUAUGAUUCAUAGACAGUUUUUGUUGGUGUUCAUUUCUAGUGCCAGUCUGUUGACAUGUCCGUUCUUACACUGAGAUCUUGGUCAUCUGAUGCACUUCUAAUGCAAGAGAUUGACCUGCUGUGUCAUUCUUAGAGGAGCUGACCGUGACUCGGUGGUUCUUCUCAUUGGUCUCUUCCUGAGUCUCCCCGAGUUUCUGGUUCGUUUUCUGUCUCUCUCUUUGCAAAGAGCUGUAACUCAAGGUUUUAAAGGAUAACAGUAUCGGCUCUAAUAUGGGCCUUUGGAAAUAUCUCAAACGUAUCAAUUUAUAGACUAAAAAUAUGCUCUGUUUGUAGCACAUAAUAGUUUUUGUAGUCAGUAAAAUGUAGUAGUUUGUGCAAAUAAAUCCCUUCUCAGUGUGUGUGAUAAAACAGUUGGGUAUUCGGUCUCCCAUUAAAUAACCAAAAAUUGAGAUGAUGUUUAUCAAACAUUCUUUUAUGGAAUUUGAACACCACGCCUAAGCUUGGUAGUGUUUCAACACAGUACUGUAACUGCAGAGGUUUACAUAGGCAAGAAAACGUUUAUAGUGUGUGCCUCAGAAAUGUAGUUCUCCCUAUCAAAUAGCCAUGAGAAGGGCAGAUCUGUAACUGAAAGAGGAAUUUGUUUUCCUUCUUAAUCGCAGCUAGAACAAAAGCAAAUAGGGUAUUUAACUAACUGCCUGCGUGGCAUUGUUUUCUGUCUUUGUCCAUUCUUCCCGGGUAAUAUUAAUACCAUACCUUGUCUCAUGUCCAUGUUUCUUUAUAUUCAUUGAAAUGUGCUUUGUCUAGAUGAUGGAUCUGUAAGGACAGUAUCCACUAAAAUAUGUGCUAUAAUAAUAUAAAAGCAAAGCAAUGAGUCUGUUAAGCUGUCUGGCAAGAAACUUUGUCUAAUGGAAAACUAAUAUUUCAUUGUAUUCCUUCACACAAAUCCAAUGUGCCUACUGAAAGAGUGAGCCAAUUUUAUGGAUAGCAUUAGAAUAAUUUAGUUGGUAAAAUACAUGCAAGAGAGUCAGAUGUCGGGUUCACCCACAUCAUGCAAAUCAAUCAUUAAAGAAAAUGUUAAAAAGU